rnacentral:sRNA from 1 species
AGUUAUACAAAUGAAGCUCUGUAACGUGAGCAAUGUAACUAAAACCAGUUUUUAAAAGGUUGCCCCAAAUUGGCAGCUAGCUCACUGUGUCUGAAUGCUCCUUUAAAGAGAAAGGGGUUGUUUUGGUUUUCAACCUUUGGGCAACAAUUCAAACCAUGAUCUAUCUUUCCCCAAUCUACAUCUGCCUGCUCUCAGACUCACUCUUGUGGAUAAAAGCAUGGCUAAAAAUAGUAACCCAGAAAAAGCGAUGCAGACAAGAAGUAACACGGCGACAUGGUUCCAGGAUGGCUUGCAACUCACUGUGAAGCUCAGGAGCCAUGGUGGCCUGGAGUUUACAUCACCCCUGCCUUUGGUAUGCUGGCAUGACGAGUAUAAGAAUGACACUUGACUAGCAGGAGAGCUUCUUAAGGGCAGGGGACAAGCGAAGAAAGCUGUGGUUUCCUGUAACAGUCUUUAUCUGUUGCAAAUAGAAGUUUCUUUGAUGAGAAGCGGAGCUAUACUUACCCGUGGAUAUAAAGACACCCAGUACUGAACAAGACCAGACUUGCUCUAUUUGGUAUACAUAAUGAAGAGCCAACUUUCUCAGUUUUCUACUAAACUUAAGAGUUGUAAGCAGAAAAAUAAGAAUUCUAGUGUGUUGACCUAGCAGAGAAGAAUGCCAGUAAGUAUUGAGGUAAUAAAAAGAAACCAUUGGAGUUUGAUAAACACAACGCAAAAUCUAACCCCAAGCAUACAACUGGCUAUUUUAUACUGGAAGUUAGGUAGAUCAUUUUUUCCUUAGUCUCUCUCUCUCU